GAUGAAAAUCAGAAGCCAUGGGAGAAGAGAGAACAGUGAGUUCUCAUGGCAAUCCUAUGUUUCGAUUUUUCGUCGAAAUAUCGAUCCAAUCGCGUAAACGUUAUGAAAUCAAUAUAAGGCAUAGAAGCUUGUAACACGAGUCGUGCAAAAAUGAAUGGACCUAGAAGAUAGCUAAGGGUCGAAAGGUGAAAUAGGCUUAUGUUCAUAAGCCUGCGAGGUAGCGUAUCCUCUCUAUGGUUUUCGAUUCCUUUGGUUGAGAUGAUGUGUGCUAUAAUGUGAUUAUUUGUGCGAUGUUAAUUAAAUAAUGUGCUUAAAUAUGCUUAUAAUUUAAUAUAUGGAUUGUUAUGAUACUUAUUAAUUUUAAUAUGAAUGAUCUGCAGAAAUAAUGGUACGAAUAUUAAUAAAAGACAAUGGAUAUGAUAUGCAAUGAAAUGUAAUAAAUUAUGAAGAUUUGAAUAAUGUGAAAUAUGUCUGAAUGGAUUAUGAAAAGAUAUCUGAAUGUAUAUGAAAAAGAAGUGAUCUGAUAGGUAGAGCCUGAACAAAAUGAACACAAGAGAAUAAUAUGUAAAGGUUAUAAAAGUAUAUACUAAAAAAAUGUCUAUGAAUUCGAUAAGAAUGAUUAUCUGAAGUGAUAUUUGGAAAUAGAAUAAAUGUGAAAAGGAGAUUUGAAAAAAUAAUAUGAAAUAAAACGUCCCGUUUGCUUGGUCAUAUGUGUUGGGUACAAUUGGAAUGCCAUAGGACAUCAGCUCUGCAUUAUCUGUGAUCACUCGUCUUCUGGAUAACCAAAGUGAGGAUCGUCUGUUAUCUGAUGGGCCCCGAUCUGAUCUGUCUGAUAUGCACUCUCAUGGGUGGUCUGAUCAUCUAUCUGAUAUGCACCCUCAUAGGUGGUCUGAUUAUCUGAUAUGCACCCUAUGGGUGGUCUGUGCGGAGUCCUCUCGAGGACAAAAUCCGCGUCUGCAUCUGAUUCUGUUUCUGAUCUGGACCGUGUACCCUGCCUGAAACCAAGCAAAUAUUGGGGCUAUAUGAUAAGAUGAGAUAAAAUAAUAUCUCAUUACUUGUGAAUAAAAGAUCUGUAAUCUGUGAUCUGUGAUAUAUGAUAAGAUGCGAUAAAAUAAUAUCUGAUGACUUUUGAAUAAAGAAUCUGUAAUCUGUGAUCUGUGCUAUAUGAUAAGAUGAGAUAAAAUAAUAUCUGAUGACUUGUGAAUAAAAGAUCUGUAAUCUGUGAUCUGUGAUAUAUGAUAAGAUGAGAUAAAAUAAUAUCGGAUGACUUCUGAAUAAAGAAUCUGUAAUCUGUGAUCUGUGCUAUAUGAUAAGAUGAGAUAAAAUAAUAUCUGAUGACUUCUGAAUAAAAGGAUCUGUAAUCUGUAAUCUGUGCUAUAUGAUAAAAAUAAGAUAAAAUAAUAUCUGAUGACUUGUGAAUAAAGAUAUGUGAUCUGUGAUAUAUAAAAUAAUAUCUGAUAACUUGGAAAUAAGGAUCUGUGAUAUGUGAUAUAUAUAUAAAAUAAUAUCUGAUUACUUAGGAAUAAGGAUCGGUGAUAUGAGAUAUAUAAAAUAAUAUCUGACGAAUUGUGAAUAAUGAUCUACGAUCUAUGAUAUGUGAUUUGUGAAAAAUGAUAUAUGAUGAUAUGCGAAAUCUUGAGAAAACCAGAACUAUAAGAUACAAUGAAAAUGUGGCAGUGUAGGAAGAAAUAAGUGAGUCUGUUAUCUGGAGACCAUAAGACAAAUAUGACAAGAAAGAUAUGAUUAAUAUGUGUGGGUAUCUGAACAAGUAUGCUCUGGCGUGAAAAUUAUGAGAAUUUAGAAUAUAUAUAUAUAUAUAUAUAUAUAUAUAUAGGUUAGUGAUCAAGAUAUAACUAAUAUUAAGUGUAUAAUUAGAGAACAAAUCUCAGCCACACAUCUUAAUGGAACAAAUAUUAUUUAUUUUAAUAAUAUAAAAUAGGUUAAGGGUAUUUUUGAAAAUCUAUUUAUGAAAUGCAUAAGGGGCAAUUUUGCUGAACUCCAUCAACAUGAUGACCCUCCAGCCACCGCCAUGGCCGGCCUCUCCGCCGUCGAAUAUGCGCCGGUUCUUCCCCUGAAGGCGGCAAGGUUUCUAAGAAAGCGAUCAAGUCUCCCCGCGCUAAGAGUAAGAAAGAGAGGUCUCCGCCGCCGGCGGCGGAGUCGGAGGCGAAGGAAGGAUAUGCAGCUGCGGUUGAUCGAGAAGGAGAGAUGAGCAACACUUCUCCGAAGCUCGGGAGCUUCUACGAGUUCUUCUCUCUGUCUCACCUCACGCCUCCUCUUCAAUGUAAUCUUAUUUCCUUUUCAUUUAUUUUAUUUUAAACUUUGUUGCUGCUACGUUGUGAUCUUGUUCAAGAUUUUCAUAUUUACUGAUGUAGUAGUAGUAGUAGUUUUUGGAAUUCCCAUUGCUUAAU